rnacentral:rRNA from 1 species
GACGAACGCUGGCGGCGUGCUUAACACAUGCAAGUCGAACGCUGAAGACCUGGCUUUUGUUGGGUUGGAUGAGUGGCGAACGGGUGAGUAACACGUGAGUAACCUGCCCUCUUCUUUGGGAUAACGCCCGGAAACGGGUGCUAAUACUGGAUAUUCACUGAUCUUCGCAUGGGGGUUGGUGGAAAGGUUUGUUCUGGUGGGGGAUGGGCUCGCGGCCUAUCAGCUUGUUGGUGGGGUGAUGGCCUACCAAGGCUUUGACGGGUAGCCGGCCUGAGAGGGUGACCGGUCACAUUGGGACUGAGAUACGGCCCAGACUCCUACGGGAGGCAGCAGUGGGGAAUAUUGCACAAUGGGCGAAAGCCUGAUGCAGCGACGCCGCGUGAGGGAUGGAGGCCUUCGGGGUGGAAACCUCUUUCGCGCAUGGUCAAGCCGCAACUGUGGGUUGUGGUGAGGGUAGUGGGUAAAGAAGCGCCGGCUAACUACGUG